rnacentral:rRNA from 1 species
AGGACGAACGCUGGCGGCGUGCUUAACACAUGCAAGUCGAGCGGUAAGGCCUUCGGGUACACGAGCGGCGAACGGGUGAGUAACACGUGGGUGAUCUGCCUCGCACUUCGGGAUAAGCCUGGGAAACUGGGUCUAAUACCGGAUAUGACCAUGGAAUGCAUGUUUUGUGGUGGAAAGAUUUAUCGGUGCGAGAUGGGCCCGCGGCCUAUCAGCUUGUUGGUGAGGUAACGGCUCACCAAGGCGACGACGGGUAGCCGACCUGAGAGGGUGACCGGCCACACUGGGACUGAGACACGGCCCAGACUCCUACGGGAGGCAGCAGUGGGGAAUAUUGCACAAUGGGCGAAAGCCUGAUGCAGCGACGCCGCGUGGAGGAUGACGGCCUUCGGGUUGUAAACUCCUUUCGACAGGGACGAAGCGCAAGUGACGGUACCUGUAGAAGAAGCACCGGCCAACUACGUGCCAGCAGCCGCGGUAAUACGUAGGGUGCGAGCGUUGUCCGGAAUUACUGGGCGUAAAGAGCUUGUAGGCGGUCUGUCGCGUCUUCUGUGAAAACUUGGGGCUCAACCUUAAGCUUGCAGGCGAUACGGGCAGACUAGAGUACUUCAGGGGAGACUGGAAUUCCUGGUGUAGCGGUGAAAUGCGCAGAUAUCAGGAGGAACACCGGUGGCGAAGGCGGGUCUCUGGGAAGUAACUGACGCUGAGAAGCGAAAGCAUGGGUAGCAAACAGGAUUAGAUACCCUGGUAGUCCAUGCCGUAAACGGUGGGUACUAGGUGUGGGUUUCCUUCCACGGGAUCCGUGCCGUAGCUAACGCAUUAAGU